GUAGUCCACGCCGUAAACGAUGAGAACUAGAUGUUGUAGGGAUAAAACCCUGGAGUAUCGAAGCUAACGCGUUAAGUUCUCCGCCUGGGGAGUACGGCCGCAAGGUUAAAACUCAAAGGAAUUGACGGGGGCUCGCACAAGCGGUGGAGCAUGUGGUUUAAUUCGAUGCAACGCGAAGAACCUUACCUGCCCUUGACAUCUUCAGAAUUUUGCAGAGAUGUGAAAGUGCCUUCGGGAACUGAAAGACAGGUGCUGCAUGGCUGUCGUCAGCUCGUGUCGUGAGAUGUUGGGUUAAGUCCCGUAACGAGCGCAACCCCUGUCCCUAGUUGCCAACGAGUAAUGUCGGGAACUCUAGGGAGACUGCCGGUGACAAGCUGGA
rnacentral:rRNA from 1 species